rnacentral:rRNA from 1 species
AGUGAACGCUGGCGGUAGGCCUAACACAUGCAAGUCGAACGGCAGCACAGUAAGAGCUUGCUCUUACGGGUGGCGAGUGGCGGACGGGUGAGGAAUACAUCGGAAUCUACUUUUUCGUGGGGGAUAACGUAGGGAAACUUACGCUAAUACCGCAUACGACCUACGGGUGAAAGCAGGGGAUCUUCGGACCUUGCGCGAUUGAAUGAGCCGAUGUCGGAUUAGCUAGUUGGCGGGGUAAAGGCCCACCAAGGCGACGAUCCGUAGCUGGUCUGAGAGGAUGAUCAGCCACACUGGAACUGAGACACGGUCCAGACUCCUACGGGAGGCAGCAGUGGGGAAUAUUGGACAAUGGGCGCAAGCCUGAUCCAGCCAUACCGCGUGGGUAAAGAAGGCCUUCGGGUUGUAAAGCCCUUUUGUUGGGAAAGAAAAGCAGCAGGUUAAUACCCCGCUGUUCUGACGGUACCCAAAGAGUAAGCACCGGCUAACUUCGUG